UAUUUUAUUUUUCACUUUAAUACCCUCACGAAAAUUUAACUUAUUGAGAAAUAAUCUCAAAUUAACAAACAAAUUUGAAACCCUUGUAGCAAUCUCUGCAGACAUUCAAAAACCAAGAUUCAAUUCCUGCAUGCUCUCAAACUGACCUGGAUUCAAUUUCUUCAUGCCCUUAAACCUCCUCCCUGGAUUCAACUUCUUCAUACCUUAAAAUUCUCGAUUCAGUUUCUUAUACACUCAAACACGUUUCCCCCCUUUUCGAUUCAGUCUCUCGUACACUCAAACCCUCAUUCAGUCUUUCAUAAUUCAUACACUCAAAUAUGUUGUUCCCCUUUGAUUUCGAUUCAAAUUAUGUGACAAAAGAUGGAAUUCUGCGACGAAGAAGAACAUAUGCGAUUCCGAUUCUCAUGUUCCCUCGUCAAACAUGAUCCAUUCUCUAGUUGAGUAGUUAUUGACAUUAGAGAAGUUGAAGUUAGAUGACAAGUGACAACCUUAAGAUCUAAUUGGCACUCAAGGCUUCGUCAACUUCUAUCAAACGAAGGCAUCAUUGGUCCAUCUAUAAUUCUUGAUUCUAAACAUAUUCUCUUCAUUCUCUAGUUGAAUUUUAAUCACCAAUCAAGAUUUAAUUCAGUUUCCUCGGUGAUUCCUUCCCAUUCUCCAGUUGAGGUUUGUCAAUUCGUGAUUUCUCUAGAUUCUUCUUAUCUAUCAUGUCCCUUCGAAUCCGAUUCAGAUUACUUACAGAGAAAAAGAAAGUACAUGAAAGAUCAGAAGAAAGAAUGUGAUUCACAACAGUUUCUCUAACAAACCGCUGCUCUACUUUUUCUUUUCGACAAAAGCUUUGCGUCUACUCACUUCAAUUUCAAUCUUCUUGAUUUGGUUUGGAUCAACACUACGGAAGUUCAAUUGAAUUAUCGGUGCAAAGUUAUGAUGAACCAAGUUUUGCAUAUUGAAGUGCUAAAUUUGAAGGUCAACAUUAGAAGAAAGUAAACAGACAUAUAUAGUAGUGAUAACUUAGUCUUAGUCUUGGUUCGGUUUUGGAUAUUAUGUAUUUUUUUAUAAGUAUUUUGUAAUACUUAAAUAUAUUAAAAAUAUUAUGUUCAUAUUAUUGUGUGCA